GUGCCUUUUUCCGUAUGAUCACUGAAGUUAAACAACGUCGACCAUGGUCAGUAGCUUGAUGGGUGACCGCAUGGGAAUACCAGGUGUUGUAUG